rnacentral:rRNA from 1 species
GUGAACAAGUACCGUGAGGGAAAGGUGAAAAGAACCCCGGGAGGGGAGUGAAAUAGAACUUGAAAUCUUAUUCCUACAAGCAGUGGGAGCACUACGAGUGUGACCACGUACCUUUUGCAUAAUGGGCCGGUGAGUUACUUAGAGUAGCAAGGUUAAGGAAUUUGAGUUCCGGAGCCGCAGCGAAAGCGAGUCUUAAAAGGGCGUAGAGUUGCUCUAAGUAGACCCGAAACCAGGUGAUCUACCCAUGGCCAGGGUGAAGUACAUUUAAACGUGUACGGAGGCCCGAACGCACUGACGUUGAAAAGUCAGGCGAUGAGCUGUGGGUUGGAGUGAAAGGCUAAUCAAACCUGGAGAUAGCUGGUUCUCCCCGAAAUAGCUUUAGGGCUAGCCUUGUGUAUGGAGAGCGGGGGUAGAGCACUGGAUGAUAAAGGGACCCUUUGGGUUCCUUUACUCAAUCAAACUCCGAAUACCGCUCAUCUUUAGCACAGGAGUCAGACUGUGGGGGAUAAGCCUCAUAGUCGAGAGGGAAACAGCCCAGACCGCCAGUUAAGGUCUCUAAAUAUAGACUAAGUGGGAAAGGAUGUAAGAUUACUUAGAUAGCCAGGAGGUUGGCUCAGAGGCAGCCAUCCUUUAAAGAGUGCGUAACAGCUCACUGGGUUAGCGAUCUUGCGCCGAAAAUUUAACGAGGCUCAAGUCUAUUACCGAAACU